rnacentral:lncRNA from 11 species
CGAGGCUGUUACUUGACCUUGGGUUAAACUCAGCGGAAGGGAAGGGAAGCGGGGAGCCAACGGGGUGGCUGGCGGCGGCGGUGUCGCCGGCACCCCUGGCCUCAAAGGAAGGCGAGGGGAGGAAGGAAGUGGGGCAGGAAGGGGGGCAGGAAGACAGCUGCGCAUAGGGGGUCCUCGCCAGGCUCCCUGGCCUCGGCUUCCUCCAGCAUUGCAUCUGUGAAAACAGGGACACGGGACAAAGCUCCAACACUGCUAGAAUUGAACUGCGUUAUAUGGAUGUCUAUUGCCAACACCACUCGAGAAAUUAUACUGUUUAGCUAGUAUUGCACCACCUGACAUCCGUCACGAAGUAGCAGCCUGUAAUGAAAGGACCAAGGCAGUGACAUCUCCAGCCCAUCCUGUUUGGAUAUUAGCCAGAAAGCUAACACCUUGAAUCAAGAAACAGCUUCCUAAGAUCCACAGAGAUACCCUCAGCAAGCAAGAGUCCAAAAGUGGCAGGCUAAAACCCGGAACCUCAAUCUGUGGCUGAGACUGGAUGGCAAACUCUUUCCUGGGGAGAUAGAAGACUGGAUGACUUGAAAGGCACUGAACAGACUGCACUCUGGCACCAUGAGAUGCAGAGCUAACUUUAAGAAAAUGGGCUACAAAGUGUAGUCCACAACAUGCGAGUGUGGAGAAGAGCAAACAACAGACCACUGGCUACAAUGCGAUUUAAGCCCUGCUACAUGCACAACGGAGGACCUUCUCACAGUGACACCAGAGGCACUCCAAGUAGCCAGCUACUUCUGGUCAAAGGAAAUAUAGCAUAAUGCAAAGUUUUUAACUUUU